AGCUUCAGUGAUGGAUGCUUUGGUUCAAACAACGAUGAAGGGUGCAGUGAAAUGUAUUAGGCAUUGUGAAUUGCAGAAUUCCGUGAACCAAUGGGGCAUUGAACGUAUUCUAUGUUUUUGGGACAUUCCUGCAAGCAUGCUUGAAUCAGUGCCAUGUCUUGAAUACUGCUCUUCCGCAUCUCGGUGUGGAGUGUGCGUGCGCCAAAGUGCUUGGUCCUUUGACGCAUUUC
rnacentral:rRNA from 1 species